rnacentral:rRNA from 1 species
GAAUAUUGGACAAUGGGGGGAACCCUGAUCCAGCCAUGCCGCGUGUGUGAAGAAGGCCUUUUGGUUGUAAAGCACUUUAAGCGAGGAGGAGGCUACCUGGAUUAAUACUUUAGGAUAGUGGACGUUACUCGCAGAAUAAGCACCGGCUAACUCUGUGCCAGCAGCCGCGGUAAUACAGAGGGUGCGAGCGUUAAUCGGAUUUACUGGGCGUAAAGCGUGCGUAGGCGGCCAAUUAAGUCAAAUGUGAAAUCCCCGAGCUUAACUUGGGAAUUGCAUUCGAUACUGGUUGGCUAGAGUAUGGGAGAGGAUGGUAGAAUUCCAGGUGUAGCGGUGAAAUGCGUAGAGAUCUGGAGGAAUACCGAUGGCGAAGGCAGCCAUCUGGCCUAAUACUGACGCUGAGGUACGAAAGCAUGGGGAGCAAACAGG